UCCCUUUUUUUUGUAUUUUCUGCAUCCAUUCUUUCUGUUUCAGUGCUAAUGUUCACAUACAGAAAUGUUCACAUCAUCACUUAUAACAGUUCAAGAUAAGAUUAUAAGACUGCAAGACAAGCAUAACAUUAUCAAUUCUACUGUUUAAAUGUGUCAUUACCACAUUUUAUUAUAUUUUCUCUUGACUAAUCUGGCUAUCUGGCAAAGAUUCUAGUUAAUCAUGGUAAAAACUUGCAAUACCACUAACCUGUAGGUUUCUGCCCAUGUCUCAGUGCUCUGUGUUCACUGGCAAAAUUUAAAGCAGUUUUAAUUUACAUUUCACCAUUAUGUUGCCAAGACCAGAAUAUUGAAUAUUUGUCUAUUUUCUAACAUGCUUUACUACUGGUAUACAGUAUAGGGAGAGAAAUAUAAACCCCAAGUAUAUCCCAGAGUUAAUGAGACAUCUGUAGUUUCAGAAGAAUGAGAAAAGGGUUAGGAAGCUAACUCACAAUUCAUUUAAUUAUUUAAUCAACCAUAUAACAAUGCAUAAAAGGUAGAUAAAUCAUUACAAUGAUAUUUAAAACCAGACUACAAAACAUUUCCAAAAUAUUUCAUAAACCCUACAUGUUAAAUAAAUAUUUGGGUGCCAUAUCUGAAGAGUGAUAAUUCCUCGCUCUCUUCUUUAUCCUGUGUGGCUUAUUCAAGAACGAAGUUAAAGAUACAACCUAAUCAUGAUUAUUGGAAGAGAUAAACAAUGGUAUGCAUCUCAUCUUCCUUUUUAAAAGCCAUAACCUGACAGAAAUAUGCCCUACUCAAUAUAGGGAACAAAAAUUUGCUUCCUGGUAAAUUGCAUUUUAAUUAUAAUUUAAGAGUUACAGUCAAAUUCAGAUCUCUUGGCUAAUUAAAUAAAAAUGGAAGAAACCACAUGGCAAGCCACACAUAUGAUCAUUUUAGAAAACUGAAAUGGUAGUAUCAAAAACUUAAUAAUGCAAUGAAACAGCUAAAAUCUUCGGAAGAAAAUUCUGAAAAUAACCUUUGUAAAAUAGGAUGUGUAUUGCACUUUUAAUAUAAGAAUCUCCAUGUGCCUGCUCAAUCAAUUUAUUUAUCUGUUUUGAUUGGCUAGCCUUUCAGGGCCUCUUAUAUGUGAAAUAAGAAAACCGUGAAAGUUGGGCCCAUGAAUUUAACCU